UUGCACCUACGGGGCGCAGCAGUGAGGAAUAUUGGUCAAUGGGCGGAAGCCUGAACCAGCCAAGUCGCGUGAGGGAGUAAGGUCCUACGGGUCGUAAACCUCUUUUGCCGGGGAGCAAGGGCCGGGACGCGUCCCGGCCCGGAGAGUACCCGGAGAAAAAGCAUCGGCUAACUCCGUGCCAGCAGCCGCGGUAAUACGGAGGAUGCGAGCGUUAUCCGGAUUUAUUGGGUUUAAAGGGUGCGUAGGCGGGCUUUUAAGUCAGCGGUAAAAAUUCGGGGCGCAACCCCGUCCGGCCGUUGAAACUG
rnacentral:rRNA from 1 species